rnacentral:rRNA from 1 species
UACGAAGGGGGCUAGCGUUGCUCGGAAUCACUGGGCGUAAAGGGUGCGUAGGCGGGUCUUUUAAGUCAGGGGUGAAAUCCUGGAGCUCAACUCCAGAACUGCCUUUGAUACUGAGGAUCUUGAGUUCGGGAGAGGUGAGUGGAACUCCGAGUGUAGAGGUGAAAUUCGUAGAUAUUCGGAAGAACACCAGUGGCGAAGGCGGCUCACUGGCCCGGUACUGACGCUGAGGUGCGAAAGCGUGGGGAGCAAACAGG